UUCUAAUUUUUGUUUAUUAUUAGUAUGACCUGCUCCAUGAAUAUUUAAAUAGCCGCAGAAUAUUUACUGUGCUAAGGUAGCAUAAUCAUUAGCCCUUUAAUUGAGGGCUUGUAUGAAGGGUUAAACAAUUUAAUUACUUUCUUAUAUAAAAUAAUCUAAAUUUUACUAAAUAUAAAAAUAUAUUUAUAAAAAUAUUAGACGACAAGACCCUAUUGAACUUUACUAAAGUUAAGCUGGGGUAGCUAAUUAAUUAUAAUUUUAAUAUUUUUAAACUUUUAUAAACGACCCGAUAUAAUUGAUUAUUUGAAUUAAGUUACCAUAGGGAUAACAGCGUAAUUUAUUUUUAAAGUUCGUAUAAAAAAAAAAGAUUGCGACCUCGAUGUUGAAUAUUGUUUCAAUUAAAUGCAACAGCUUAAAUUGUGGGUCUGUUCGACCCUUAAGACAAUACA
rnacentral:rRNA from 1 species